GAUGAAGAACGUAGCGAAAUGCGAUACUUGGUGUGAAUUGCAGAAUCCCGUGAACCAUCGAGUCUUUGAACGCAAGUUGCGCCCGAAGCCAUUAGGCCGAGGGCACGCCUGCCUGGGUGUCACACACCGUUACCCUCGCGCCAACGUCCAUCGUUGGCCGCGGCGCGGGGCGUGCGCUGACCUCCCGCGAGCGGGGUCUCGUGGUUGGUUGAAAAUCGAGUUCGCGGUCGAGGGUGCCGUGAUGAAAUGGUGGAUGGGCGACGCCCGAGGCCAAUCACGCGCGACUCUGUCCGGCUCGAACUCCUGGACCCCUUCGGCGUCUCCGGACGCUCUUUGGCGAGACCUCAGGUCAGGCGGGGCUACCCGCUGAGUUUAAGCAUAUCAAUAAGCGGAGG
rnacentral:misc_RNA from 1 species